rnacentral:rRNA from 1 species
UACGUAGGGUGCAAGCGUUGUCCGGAAUUAUUGGGCGUAAAGAGCUCGUAGGCGGUCUGUCGCGUCGGCUGUGAAAACCCGGGGCUCAACUCCAGUCCUGCUUCCGAUACGGGUGGACUAGAGGUAGGCAGGGGAGAACGGAAUUCCCGGUGGAGUGGUGAAAUGCGUAGAGAUCGGGAGGAACACCAGUGGCGAAGGCGGCCGGCUGGGGGUGACCUGACGCUGAGGCGCGAAAGCGUGGGGAGCGAACCGG